rnacentral:rRNA from 1 species
AUUGAACGCUGGCGGCAUGCUUUACACAUGCAAGUCGAACGGUAACAGGCCGCAAGGUGCUGACGAGUGGCGAACGGGUGAGUAAUGCAUCGGAACGUGCCCAGUCGUGGGGGAUAACUACUCGAAAGAGUAGCUAAUACCGCAUACGAUCUAUGGAUGAAAGCGGGGGACCGUAAGGCCUCGCGCGAUUGGAGCGGCCGAUGUCAGAUUAGGUAGUUGGUGGGGUAAAGGCUCACCAAGCCAACGAUCUGUAGCUGGUCUGAGAGGACGACCAGCCACACUGGGACUGAGUCACGGCCCAGACUCCUACGGGAGGCAGCAGUGGGGAAUUUUGGACAAUGGGCGCAAGCCUGAUCCAGCAAUGCCGCGUGCAGGAAGAAGGCCUUCGGGUUGUAAACUGCUUUUGUACGGAACGAAACGGCUCUGGUUAAUACCCGGGGCUAAUGACGGUACCGUAAGAAUAAGCACCGGCUAACUACGUG